rnacentral:misc_RNA from 1 species
GAUGAAGAACGCAGCGAAAUGCGAUAAGUAAUGUGAAUUGCAGAAUUCAGUGAAUCAUCGAAUCUUUGAACGCACAUUGCGCCCGCCAGUAUUCUGGCGGGCAUGCCUGUUCGAGCGUCAUUUCAACCAUCAAGCCCCAGGCUUGUGUUGGGGACCUGCGGCUGCCGCAGGCCCUGAAAACCAGUGGCGGGCUCGCUGUCACACCGGGCGUAGUAGAUUUUAUCUCGCUCAGGGCGUGCUGCGGGUUCCGGCCGUUAAAAAGCCUUUUUUACCCAAGGUUGACCUCGGAUCAGGUAGGAAGACCCGCUGAACUUAAGCAUAUCAAUAAGGAGGA